AAUACAAAAGUUUGCUAGGUACGAGUGUUUCCAUACCUAAUAAAAGUGAUCGCACAGAAUUGCUGAAAUGAAUCAAAAUAUAUCCUCGUACGACAUGCUUUAUAAUGAACUGCAUAAAAGAAAAACUUUUAAUUAGCUUACUAAUAUGUACAAGAAACUAGAAUAAGUUAUUUAUAAAUUUGGUUAUUGUAAUCAAAACUACAACAGAAUAUGUAUUACAGUUACCAAAGAAAGUUAAAUAUAGAUCCCUUCACAAUUCUCUCUGCGGGAGCUACCAUCUUCACCUCUAUAUUGUUAUCAAGCCUUGAUACAUCUAAUGGUCGUAAGGUUGUAAUACAAUUUUCAGCAUAAUUAUCCAACUCAUGAAAUCCUCUUGGAGGUGCUCUCAAUACAACAUACCAACUAGACGAAUCAUUCUCCCUUGAAUAGAACACUUGUUUUGCUUGAGAUGCUAAAAUAAACGAGUCCCUUGCAAACUGAUGUUGUCCUUGAUGCAGAUUAACCAAAGUAAGUCCAUCCUCAAAUUUGACACCAUUUCUAAUGUUAGCCCAAUUACAAUCAAACAAUGGAAUUUUCAGAGUAUAGUAGUCAAGCAACAAAAUAUCUUUUAUGACACCAUAGUACAUAAUUGUAUCGAUGCAACUAUUUGUAUCUUUUGAACUAGAUUGACAAACUGUAACUGACUCAAUUAAAACACCACUAUUCUGUGUAGAUUUCUCAGCAUCCUUUAUAUGAUAAUGCUGAUCAUUGAUGAUGUAUGAGUUAUAGCUCACAGCUUGCCUUCGAGGACCACAUGCAAGGCAUUUUAAUGUCAUUGAGAUGUCGUUUCUAUUUUCUUCCUCAAUCUGUUUAGAAAUUAAAAAAUAUCAAUUAAUGGGAGUUCAAGAAACAAAAUAAAAUAAAGCAUAGAUCCCACAAUGCUACUAUAUUGGAACCUUUUGUUCAAACCAACUGGAAAACUCUUCUGAAUGUCUCUUCCAAAGUAAACCUUCAUUUCUUGAGAGUCUCUUAUCCGAAUGUUUUAACUCAGCUAAGUGCAAACUAAAAGAAAGGAGAUAAUUAAAAAAGGUGAUUACCGGCUUCUCAUCUAAAGAAAUUUUAAAUUAAAAGACUUACUGUAAAUAUGGUUCUACUUCAGCUGUAUUAAAUAACACAUAUCGAUGAGCACUUUCCAAUCUCUCAUCUGUUAACUCAAUUAUUGAUCCUUUAGAGAUUGGUCGGCCUUCAAGUAUCACAUCAUGCAUGUACUCUUUAUUUCUCCUUUGGUGGCAAUCCAUAUCUGCUACUAGCUUUAUGCAUCUACUAAAAUAACUCAGGCAUUCAUCGGCAAGAUAGCAUUUAACAAUACAACCCUCUGGUCUUGCACGAUUCCUAACAUAUCCUUUUAACUUCUUCAUUUCUCUAUAAAUACAAUCAAAUAUUAUGUCAACACAAGAGGCUUUUUACUUAAACUAACACAAAAGAAUUAUUAAUUUAUAUAUAUUGAUAACCUUUCAAAAGGAUACAUCCAACGAUAUUGAACCGGCCCACACAAUCUUGCUUCGCGUCCUAAGUGGAUUAGCAAAUGAACCAUUAUAUCAAAGAAUGUGGGAAGAAAAAACCUUUCAAACAUGCACACAAUUUCAACAAUAUCCUCCUCAAGUUUCUCUCGAUCAAGGACUCUUUGACACAAAUCAUUGAAAAAUACACAUAACCUGAAUAUUGCAUUCCUUGGUCCUUUUGGAAGUAAGCCUCGUAAAGCUACAUGCAACAACUAUUGCAUUAACACAUGAAAAUCAUGAGACUUGAGGCCUGAAAUUUUACAAUCUUCCAUUGAAAUACAACUCCCAAUGUUUGAACUAAACCAUCAGGCAAUUUCAAAUCUAACAAUCUUUUGCAGAAGAUUUGUUUUUCUACCCUUGAUAAUGUAUGUGGUGCUGGUGGAAGAAAAGUACUCUUUUCACGCACAUCUGGAUGCAAAUCUUUCCUUAUUUUUAAUUCCUUCAAAUCCAUACAAGAAUGAAGGCCAUCCUUUGAUUUUCCCUUUAUAUUGAGCAGAGUCCCAACUAUGCUAUCACAUACAUUCUUCUCUAUAUGCAUCACAUCCAAAUUAUGACGCAAUAAAAGAUGCUGAAAAAUCAAGAACAAUAAGAGUAUCAUGAGGAAUUUUUUUAGGCAUUAUCAACAUAAUUACAGAAAAUUUAUUCAAUAGAAUCAUACCUGCCAAUAUGGUAAGUUAAAAAAUAUUGACUUUUUUUUCCACACCGAGUAUUUUUUUAUCUUCCUUUUGUUCUUUCUUAAACUCUUUCCCCAAUCAUUUUCUAUGUCUUUUACCUCAUUUAAAAUUUGCCUUCCAGACAUUAUUCUAGGUCUUUCCUCAAGUUCUUCAUGACCAUCAAACCACGACUUUUUGAAUAGAAGGGAAUGGCCAGAAGGAAGGAAGCGUCUAUGACCCAUAUAUAUAGUUUUUUUACUGUAUUUUAACCUUUUUGAGCAUGUAUUAAAACUGCAUAUAGGACACGCUGCCUUACCUUUUGUGGCACAUCCUGCCAAGUUGCCAUAUGCAGGAAAAUCGUUAAUUGUCCACAUCAAAAUUGCUUUCAAGUUGAAAACUGUCAUAAUGAAUGCAUCAUAAACCUCUACACCAUUCUCCCAUAGCUGUUGUAGAUCAUCUAUUAGCGGUUGUAGAUAAAUAUCUAUGUCAUUACCAGGUCGUUUAGGCCCUGGAAUCAACAAUGUCAACAUUAUAAAUUCUUUUCUCAUGCACAACCAUGGUGGGAGAUUGUAAGUCACUAACAUUACCAGCCAGCAACUAUAUGUUGAACUACAAAUACCAAAAGGAUUAAACCCAUCCGCUGCUAGACCUAACCUUAGGUUUCUAGGAUCUUUGGAGAACGAAUGCCAUUUUUUAUCAAUUGUCUUCCAAGCUAAGCUAUCCAUUGGGUGCCGCAUUUUAUCAUCAUUACUUUUAUGAUCAUAAUGCCAUCUCUAUUGUUCUGCCAUUUUUGGUGACUCAAACAUCCUUCUAAACUUUGAUAUUAUGGGAAAAUAAGUCAACACUUUUGCUGGACUUCCUUUAUGAAUCUUUUUAUUUCGACCAUCUAACUUCCAUCUAGAAGAUCCACAUUUAGGACAUGUUUCACUUUUCUCUAGGUCAUUUCUAAACAAGCAACAAUCAUUAACACAAGC
rnacentral:lncRNA from 1 species